GACGAACGCUGGCGGCGUGCUUAACACGUGCAAGUCGAACGGAAAGGCCCUGCUUUUGUGGGGUGCUCGAGUGGCGAACGGGUGAGUAACACGUGAGUAACCUGCCCUUGACUUUGGGAUAACUUCAGGAAACUGGGGCUAAUACCGGAUAGGAGCUCCUGCUGCAUGGUGGGGGUUAGAAAGUUUCGGCGGUUGGGGAUGGACUCGCGGCUUAUCAGCUUGUUGGUGGGGUAGUGGCUUACCAAGGCUUUGACGGGUAGCCGGCCUGAGAGGGUGACCGGCCACAUUGGGACUGAGAUACGGCCCAGACUCCUACGGGAGGCAGCAGUGGGGAAUAUUGCACAAUGGGCGGAAGCCUGAUGCAGCAACGCCGCGUGCGGGAUGACGGCCUUCGGGUUGUAAACCGCUUUCGCCUGUGACGAAGCGUGAGUGACGGUAAUGGGUAAAGAAGCACCGGCUAACUACGUG
rnacentral:rRNA from 1 species